rnacentral:lncRNA from 1 species
GUCCUUCCUGGUCUUUUGUUAACUGAUCACCUGUCUGGGCAGCAAGAAUUGACAGCUUCAACUGGAAAACUCAUUUAGGUGGAGUUCUGAGCAAGUCUGCUAAUGAUGAACUUCCUUCUUCAGUUCUUGACAGAAACCGUCUCCAGUGUUUCCAUUGCCUCAACGCAGCUCGGAGGACUUCUCUGCCCACUGUGGUCUGGCUGCCCCCCCGCUCCCGGCACCCACUCCUCCUGGAAGGGCUGCUCCUGCCAAGGUCGUCAACAACCUCCUUGCUCCAGACCAUGCCCAGCGCGCCUCCUUGGUCCGCACUGUCCUUGGCAUCCUGUCUCCGGGGACCAGCUCCCAGGCUCGGCUCCUGCCUCUGCACCGCCUCCCUCUCCAUCUCUGUUGCAGGCUCUCCUUCCCACCCCCGGCCUUGAACACAGCCCUCCUCUGCUUUUUCCCCAUCACAACGGGGCUAUUUCUCCUGUGUGUCGCAGGCACCGAAUUUCAUUAUGUCACAAGCGGAGCGAUGCCUCUCAUACCCCCACCCAUACCUGCCCAGACCUGAGAGCUGCUGUCCUAUGCUCCCCGCCCAGGAAAGCCACCAUCGUCCACAAGGGGGCUUGUCCCCUCCCCCCCCCCCCGUCCCCCACAAAUCGUUGCCCAGAGCUGCCCUUGACCUUUCAGAUCCCCUCACCUCUGCCUCCUUCCAUCCACCCCGGAUGCCACGAUUCCUGCCUGGAUUCCUGGAAGUGCCCCCUCACUAGUCUCCCUUCUCUCCAACCACUUCUCCAAACCACAGACCGAAUGCUCUUUCUAAAAUGAAAAUCUUGGAGUUCCCAUGGUGGCUCAGCAGGUGAAGAACCCAACAUAGUGUCCAUGAGGAUGCGGGUUCGAUUCCUGGCCUCGCUCAGUGGGUUAAGGAGUAGGCAUUGCUGCAAGCUGCAGUGUAGGUGGCAGAUGCUGCUGAGAUGCCAUUGCUGUGGCUGUGGCUAGGCUGGCAGCUGCAGCUCCCACUGACCCCUAGCCUAGGAACUUCCAUAUGCCGCAGGUUCAGCCCUUGAAAGAAAAAAUAAAAUAAUAAAAUAAAA